UCCAAGGUAGCUCAAUGGUGGAGCACUCGGCUGUUAACCGAUAGGCUGAGGGUUCGAAUCCCUCCCUUGGAGCCA
rnacentral:tRNA from 2 species